CCUGACCCACCAAGGUGCGUGGGCAGGCAGGCAGCUCCCCCCUAUAGUAGGCUAAUAUGCAAAAACCCGCUCUCCAGCACCGGACAUCCUUUUUUCUGGGGAGACAUACUCGGUUUUUUUGAGGCUACGGGUCGAAGUUUGACCUGAUUUUUAGCACAAGUGCUUAUAAAAAGUGGGAGCAAGUGGUCCACAAAGUUUCACGAUUUUUCUCCGAGCCGAUACUUUUUCAUGAUUUUCCUAGCCGACGAGCUUUAUGUCAUUCCCGAAAAUUAGAAAAUGGGUGUGGACCAUGUUUCUUGAGCUGUUCUAUUGCAGGAGUUCCAGGAAUAUUAUUCAUAAACAUUUCCCAGAGUUACGUCCAUGUAAGGUCGAGGCAUUUACCUCAAAUGAUUUUCAACCGACGUGCGGCACAAUCCAUGAUGCCCUGACGGACACACGUGCCAUGGCUUGGGUGAGUGUGCCAUAGGCUAGGCCACGCACCACAUGAAUAAGGGACUAUGUGUGUAUCGUGGACUUUGCACCAAUUCGACUAAUCGCACACACAAGUUGCGGAUCCACAACCCUCGAAGAGCAAAGUGGAAAACCAAAAAUUCAAGAUAUCAAUCUUGAUGAGGCAAGUGAUUCCAGAUGCAACACAUGAAUAAGGGACUGCGUGAAUUCCUAAACUCUGAAGGGUGAGCCAGAUCAGACCCCCCAACACACUUCUAAGAGUCACAAGCCAACAAGCAACACAGUGUCACAUGCCCUUAUCUUUAACCAAACCUGCACUGAGAGGCCACAAUCAAGACCCUCGCUUCCGCCAUGGGAACCACCCACAACACACUACCAGAUUAUGGGACUUACGCCCCUUCGUGCUCUGCAUAUAUGCCCAUGAAGGGUUCACCGAGCACCACAACCUUCCGUGCAGAACGUGCC